rnacentral:tRNA from 1 species
GCCGGGGUGGCUCAGUGGUAGAGCACCUCCUUGGUACGGAGGUGGUCGCGGGUUCAAUUCCCGCCUCCGGCU